CAAAGGCUCAUGAGAAAAAAAAAUCAACGUGGCAACAUCUUAAGAACAGAGAGAGAAGUUUUGGAGGCUAGAAGUAAAGAAGUCAAGGUGUUGUAAGGGGAGUGCUGUCACUAAAACAGGUUAUUUGAUAAUUAUCAAGCACUGUUCCAAGAAUGAGGAUUUCAGUAUUAGGAAUUCAGGAGCAGUUUGGUUUGACAGUUCUGAUUCUAGGAUUUUCAUGAGGUUGGCGUCAGAUCUCAGCUGGAGCUGCAGGCAUCUGAUGGUUUGAAGUUGGAGGAUCCAUCCCCAAGGUACCUCACCAAAAGAUUGUCAAGUUAGUAUUACAAGUUGUUUCCUCUUCAUGUGGCACCCCUCUCAGGCUUAAUUGAGUAUCUUCACAACAUGUCAACUGGCCUCUCUCAUAGCAAUUAAUCCAAGAUACCAAGGCAGAAACUGAAAUAUUUCUGUGAUUUUGUCGACCUGGGAAGUAACAUACCCUCAGUGCUACCAUAAUCUAUCGUUAUAUUAGUCAGGGUUCUCCAGGAAGACAAAACCAAUAGAAGAUAGAUGAUAGAUGGAUAGAUAGAAAUAAAG